GGGGAAGUCCUUCUGUGUAUAUGUUUAUUUUAUUCGUUGAUAAAUAAAGCACUGUUGGCCAAUAGGGAAGCAAGUUAGGCGGGACUAGUAGAGAAGGAGGAUUCUGGGAAAUGUAGUAAAGAGCAGAGUCGCCAUGUGGGCCUGGGAAAAGAGGACACAUGCUGCUGGUGUCCUCGAUAAGGUGUCUCUGAGUUCAACAAUCUGAUUUGAGAGUAAAUUGAAGAGGAAGCCAAAGGGAGAACUCUCUGCCCAAUGUGCACAUCGGGGACCAGACUUGGUGGGAAGCCAAGGGAGGUCAAUGAAGUCCUGCCUGACAGCAAUCCCUGGACACUCUGGAAGGAAAUUGGGCCAUACCUCCUAGACUACACUGGAUACAACUUACCCCAUUUCAACUGACACUCCGACCAGAGCUUCGAGUACUGACUUCAAUCAAGUUGAGGAUUUCAAGCUAGAUCUUCAAUCAAGCAAAUCCUAUCUAACAUGGACUGGAUAUAAUCCAUUAUAGAUAUAAUCCAUUCACUCUACUAACAUUUUCUUCUCACAGGACCCCAUGAGGCUACUGUUGUCCCAUUUCAGCAGGAAGUAACUUGGAGGAUGCUACGCCCCGACCCCCAUUAUUGUCUACUAGGGUAGUGUAAGCCUAGUUAGGGAUAGCUUACCAUUGUUUAUAGUUGGGAUUGUAAGGAGGUGUUUUGGCUUGGACACCUCUUUUCAGAUGACUUUAGGAUUUAGCUGAUGUAGACAUAAUUAGGAUAUGUCAUAGCAGAUUAUUGUAUCUUCUUGUAUUUCACCUUUCUGAUUGUUAAUUUUGGAUACUUUACACUGUUAAGUUUUAAUCCUCUUUUAGACUAAAAGGGGAAUUGUAGGGGACAGUGCAAGCCAUGCCUGCUUGAAGCUGGCUACAGGUAUGCCUGACCACACCUGUCAGGGCGUGGUCAAGGUGAGGUCAGGAUGAUGCGUAAUGGGGUUUUAAGGUACUGCAAGGCACAUGGGAGCCCCUUCUGUCUGGCUUCCUUGCCUUGUUGCUCCUGGCACACUCUGGCUUGCGUUUGGCUGGUGUUUUUCUAAUAAAGGUUAUCCUUAUCCCA
rnacentral:lncRNA from 1 species